AUUGAACGCUGGCGGCAGGCUUAACACAUGCAAGUCGAACGAGUGGCGGACGGGUGAGUAAUGUCUGGGAAACUGGCUUAUGGAGGGGGAUAACUACGGGAAACUGUAGCUAAUACCGCAUACCAUAGGAUGAGCCCAGAUGGGAUUAGGUAGUUGGUGAGGUAAAGGCUCACCAAGCCGACGAUCCCUAGCUGGUCUGAGAGGAUGACCAGCCACACUGGAACUGAGACACGGCCCAGACUCCUACGGGAGGCAGCAGUGGGGAAUAUUGCACAAUGGGGGCAACCCUGACGCAGCCAUGCCGCGUGAAUGAAGAAGGCCUUCGGGUUGUAAAGUUCUUUCGGUAGCGAGGCGUUACCUGCAGAAGAAGCACCGGCUAACUCCGUGCCAGCAGCCGCGGUAAUAC
rnacentral:rRNA from 1 species